rnacentral:rRNA from 1 species
UAGGGAAUCUUCGGCAAUGGGGGGAACCCUGACCGAGCAACGCCGCGUGAGUGAAGAAGGUUUUCGGAUCGUAAAGCUCUGUUGUUAAGGAAGAACGAGUGUGAGAAUGGAAAGUUCAUGCUGUGACGGUACUUAACCAGAAAGGGACGGCUAACUACGUGCCAGCAGCCGCGGUAAUACGUAGGUCCCGAGCGUUGUCCGGAUUUAUUGGGCGUAAAGCGAGCGCAGGCGGUUAGAAAAGUCUGAAGUGAAAGGCAGUGGCUCACACAUUGUAGGCUUUGGAAACUGUUUAACUUGAGUGCAGAAGGGGAGAGUGGAAUUCCAUGUGUAGCGGUGAAAUGCGUAGGUAUAUGGAGGGACACCGGUGGCGAAAGCGGCUCUCUGUUCUGUAACUGACGCUGAGGCUCGAAAGCGUGGGGAGCGAACAGG